GUUUAUAAUGACUGCAUUUAUCUGGCCGUCCAGGGCGCUGCGCGGCGCGAAAGGAUGGAUUUACGCUUGCACAACUGUCAGAAAACCCAAAACAUUUAAAUUCUUUGAAGAUAGAAAGCCACUAAAGCCAUUUGAGCAUCCUCCCCUUCAAAUAGGUGUAUAAAUAAACAGCUGUCAGAUUUAGCAAACAGAUUCAGCAGAGCUCCAAGGGAGGGAACAAAGCCACUUUAUCUACAGUGUCCUCACAUGGAAGUCAUCACCCUGCCAGCUCAGCGCCUCACCUGACCACCACGGAAGGACAGAAAGGAGGAUGUGCAGCCAACAUGCAACCCACAGGCUUUAUGAAUCAAAGGCCAGCAUCUGGGCAUGGAUUAGAAGCCACUGCAGAUCCCAGCUCAUGGAUGCAACACACCUCCUGUGGGAACCACUAAUGUGAGCAUUUCCAUUUCACCUUGACCUUGAAACACAUGAGCAGUCUGAACACACAUGCUUAAGUAUAGCACCAGGGAUCCAGGGAACAAGCUGCCUCUGCUCUGCUUUACACCAGAUGAACUCUCUCUGCCUUGCUUGCUGCUGUGCCAGAAGAGUUUCAUGUUUCCAUCAUUGCAUUAGCGUUACAUACUGUCAUGGUUUUAGCUGGGAUAGAGUUAAUUUUCUUCACUCUAGCUGGUAUAGUGCUGUGCUUUGAAAUUAGCAUGGAAAAAAACCUGUUGAGAUAACACACAGAUGUUUAGGCUGUUGCUGGGUAGCGCUUGUACUAGUCAAGGACAUUUCUAGCUUCCCAUGCUCUGCCGGGUGCACAAGAAGCCGGGAGGGGAGGGGGCACAGCUAAGAGAGCGGAUUCAAACUGACCAACGGGAUAUUCCCUAUCAUGUAAUGUCAUGCCCAGUAUGUUACCUGGGAGGGGCUGGCCGGGGGGGAGCAGGGAGCAAUCGCGGCUCGGGGACGGGCAGCGUCGGUCGGCGGGUGGUGAGCAGUUGUAUCGUUUGUGUUUCCGUGGUUUUUUUUUUCCUUUUUUUUUUUUUCCUUUCCCUUCCUUUUCCAUUUUAUUGUAUUAACAUUAUUGUCAUUAUUGUCAUAAUCAUUGUUACUAUUAUUAUCAUUUUAUUGUAAUCAUUAAACUGUGCUUAUCUCAGCCCACAA